rnacentral:rRNA from 1 species
CGCGUAGGCGGCUUUAUAAGUCGGGGGUGAAAGCCUGUGGCUCAACCACAGAAUUGCCUUCGAUACUGUAGAGCUUGAGACCGGAAGAGGUAAGUGGAACUGCGAGUGUGGAGGUGAAAUUCGUAGAUAUUCGCAAGAACACCAGUGGCGAAGGCGGCUUACUGGUCCGGUUCUGACGCUGAGGCGCGAAAGCGUGGGGAGCAAACA